rnacentral:lncRNA from 1 species
GGUGCUUGAAUUCUAAAACAUUGUUUUCUACAAGUCAUCCACUUUGCUGGGUGUUGUGACUCAAAUGUUGGUUGCGGUUAAUCUGCACAGACAUGGGAAUGGAAAUGAGUCCCUCGGGGAAGGCUGGCUAGGUUUCUGUUUGGCCAUCUGCAUACUGUUGAGAAAGGUGCAUGUUGUUGUGGCCAGGUCUAGCCAUGUAAUCUCAUGUCACCCAACCUUCCCUUUGACUAUUUCCAUUCCAGUGGCCAAGGAUGAAGCCUGACAUGGUGUCAUCUUUUCUUACAAUCUGCUCUGGGAACUUCACCUCUGGAAUCACUCUUGGGACUCUAAGGAUACUGGUGAAUAUUAGCAUACUGGGCUUCAAGGUCUUAUUGCUUAUUUUCUGGAAUUCAACAUCAAUUGAUCUUCUGGAAGUGAGCCACGCACUGGGGUGCAAUCUAGGUGCAAAGGAUAGUAUUUGGAAGCCCCGGGCAAGAGCUUCUGCAGGAGACAGUUACAAAUUAGUCCUCUUACUCUUGUAAGCUGAGUGGUUGGCACCUGGUCCAGAACACGGCCUUCAGCAUUAGAGAACAUUCCCAAGCCACAAAGAAUGAUCUGCACGUUGCCUUCCUUAUGAAAUGAGAAAGGGUCUCCAAAAGAAAUAAAACACAGGUGAGGAAAGCUGACGAAUAAUUA